UCGGUUAUCGCAGAAAACAGUUCCCCGUAUACGACAAAGAAAAAAAAAAAGCGAUCUCAGAUAAGUGUUCAUGCGAGCCCGCUAUGCGAGGCAUAAAAGGUGAGCAAAUAAUGGCCUUUUUUCGGAAACAUUUUCUCGCUGCCUCGUUACGUCUUUCAAACUCAUCGUCUGCUCCGAAAAGGGGGCGUCAGAUAGACAGAAAGAGGGAGAGCACACGGAGUCGACCCAAUUUUGGCCAUGCCGCGGCCUCGAACGUACUCCGGGUUUAGCAUCCGCGCUGCUCAAAAAAGGCACUGGCUCCAGACCCCCCCAUUUUCGACCUACCGCCCCAAAACAAACCAUCCGCCCCGCCCCGCCAAACGCAGCCCGCCGCCGAACUACCGUCUGGCAACGCUCCACCACCCUCCUCACUCAAUCUGGCAACCUCCUUUCGAUUGCACAUGGCGGCGCCCAGGGCUGCUUCAGGCUACCUCCUGCAACGCUUGCAUUAAGAUAAACUGGGGACAAACUGACUGACGUGAGGAAUGAUGGACACAUUCCAAAACUUGUGUGGUUGGUAUAUGAGCGUUCAGCAAUAAAAAUCAAACAGUGAUCAAGAUCA